rnacentral:misc_RNA from 1 species
CCACCCUCAGGCUCCGCCUGGUGUUGGGGACCUGCCUCCUCGCAGCCCCCUAAAGACAGCGGCGGGCUCGCCCCGGUCCCGAGCGUAGUAGCACACGUCGCUCCGGGUGCCGGGCUGGCUCCUGCCGUAAAACCCCCCUUUCUCAAA